UGUUGAAACACCAGUUCUUUUAUGAUCACCAAAGUUAAGCAACAUUGAGUCUGGUCAGUAUUUAGAUGGGUGACUGCGAGAGAAUACCAGAUGCUGUGA